GAAGAAUCACAGACAAAGACAGUUAUUAACUGGUAUAUUUAAUAUAGUUAAACACCAUUGAGAGGACUAUAGCUAAUAUCACUUCUUGUCUCUUGAUCGUAGGUAGUGGCAGUUUUCAUACCUCGACAGGCUCAACAUGCAUCUGUCAGCAGCACUGGAAUUGUCACCACAGGACUGCAAUGAAAACCUUUAAAUGAGGUGUGCAAAGAAAAGGACUGGCCUAACUGGCUGCAGUCAGCGUGUCCCCGGAACUGAUCGUGGCGGUGAUAGAACCGUGUCUGGGCCCACAAUCACCUGAUCAGCUGCGACCCAACAGGAUUGGGAACCCCAGAGUAUCAGUGGAUCUGCUCCAUUUUGGGUGUGGCUGCAGUAAAUGACGAUAUGAGAAAAGACUCAUACAAAAAAAGAAUUUUUCUGGGAUUUAAGAUGGAACCAAGAGUUUUUUCUGACCCUCCACACUGUAUUAAUCUAACCUUGAGGAAAACCUUUCUGCAGUCUUCACAUUUCACAAGAGAUGGCUCCUGGAUAUUUGUCUUCCUGAAGUUUUGCUAUGCCACCUGUUACCUGAAUGUUUAAGUGCAUCAUGUUUCUCUUCCACAACAGCAGCUUGCAGUCUGCUAAGAAGGAGUAAGCAGUCUCAGUUUUCAAGAUGGUACAAGUAUUUUACUUGGUUCAGUUUCUAGAAAACGUAUGACAAGUAUGUCUUUUUGCCUCUCUUCUUUCUCCAUUCAAGAAGAGGGAAUAAUCAAACUGCUAGGAAUUUUCUCUGUGUUUUGUAAAUAUUCUAAAUGUUUUCUUCUAGUACAUAUUGAUAUCCAAUAAAAAUAAAUCAUUUUUAUAAAUAAUUAGGUAC
rnacentral:lncRNA from 1 species